UACGGAGGAUGCGAGCGUUAUCCGGAUUUAUUGGGUUUAAAGGGUGCGUAGGCGGACUGUCAAGUCAGCGGUAAAAUUGAGAGGCUCAACCUCUUCCCGCCGUUGAAACUGGUGGUCUUGAGUGGAUGAGAAGUACGCGGAAUGCGUGGUGUAGCGGUGAAAUGCAUAGAUAUCACGCAGAGCUCCGAUUGCGAAGGCAGCGUACCGGCAUCCAACUGACGCUGAGGCACGAAAGCGUGGGGAUCAAACAGG
rnacentral:rRNA from 1 species